rnacentral:rRNA from 1 species
UUUUAAUGAGAGUUUGAUCCUGGCUCAGGACGAACGCUGGCGGCGUGCCUAAUACAUGCAAGUAGAACGCUGAAGGAGGAGCUU